CUAACGAUAAUUUUGUAACGUAAAUCAGAGAGAAUUGAAUCUCUGCUUUUCUCUCGAAUCGUUACAUCUUGGUACGCAACCAAGAACGUGUGAAAUAAAUUUGUAAAGGUUGUCUUUUUCCUCCUUUUUAGGCUUUGCUCUUUCAACGGUGGAAAAAUCACUAAUCAAAAUCGAUCAAUCUUUUAUCGGCGUAAAAUUUUAUCGGAGAAACAUCGAACAAGAUGAUAAAUUCGAAAAAAUACAUAUCAGGCAAAAAAAAAAAAGGAAUGAUAUAGGAAAAGUUGCGAAAGAAUGUGGAAUUGCAAAAUUUGCUUUACGUGCAAAAUUAACAGGGAAAACUCGAGGAAAAAGGAUGGAGAAAAACUAAAUUUUAACGAGCGAAGAAAAAGAUGGUUUAUUUUUGAAGAGACAUUCAAAAAUAAUAGAAAUAAAGAAAGAAAUGUGGAAAUGAUAUCGAACAUCGGUCAUUGAAGAAAAUUUGAUAAUUUUUAGAAAUGGAAUCGUAUUUAAAAUUUAUGAUAUCUUAAAAAGAUCAAAAAGUAUAUAUUUAACGAUAAUGAAACUCGGAUUCAGAUCUUUUCUAAAAGAAGAUCGAGAAAUGGAAAAGAUUUUUAUGAUAUUUCGUUUCAGGAAAAAAAGAAGAAAUGUGUUAAUUUUUCUUUGUAACAUUUUCUAUAUUUAUCAUCAAUUUGUUAAUGUAUAUUUUCAUAUGAGAGAAUUUCAACUUUUAUGCAAGUUUUUUUUCUUUUUUUUUUUUUUUUUUUUCUAAUUAGGUUAAUGAAAUUUAUACGAUACGAAGAUAAGAUUCGCACGGAAACGCGUAAUAAAGAACGAGACGAGUAAAUAAUCGUGACAACUUUUAAAAAUGGAAAAUUUCUAAAAAUUAAAUUUUACAUAAAAAUAAAAUUUUUGAAACAUUCCGAUAUUAUACGUAUAUUUGUAUUCGAUACGUUUUCCGUUAGACAAAUAAACCGAUAUUUCGAAAACUGUACGAAUAUAGUAGAUAAAACCAUGCAGUACGGAAUAGGAUGCACAAGCGAAUAAAUAUGCUACAACAAGAUUUUAUAAUCAAAAUUUAUAUGAAACUUGAAUUCUGUGCGCAAAAGUGAAGUUAUUGAUAAAACGAAACAAAAUGCGAAUAAUUCAUUACUGACAAAUUUUUUUUUUUUAUACAUACGAAAAAUUGAACGAAAUAACUAAAAAGUAUUUUUCCAAAAUACUGAAUCGCAGUUUACAAAGCGGCGAUGUGGUACGAUAUAAAUUUUAAUUUUUGUAUCGAAAUUAAAACGAUUGAAAAGAAAAAGACACGCGAUUUUAGUUGUGUAAAUCAACGAACGGAUUCCAUUCGCGCGUAAAUAAGUAAACAGUAAAGUUUAACGCUGAGUUAUGAAAAUAAAUGGUAUUAUGAUGCGAAAUAUCGAAGAAAAAUGAUUUUAAACGCGCGAGUGUAUAAAAUUGCUUCCAAAAUUUAAAUUUAUAAAAAAUAACUCGAUGGAAGAUAAUAAAUAGCGUGUAAAUCAACGAACGAACACUGUCAAUAUAUAUGAAGAAUAUCUGUAGAUAAAAUUACGAUAAGAAAGUUUGUGAUCGUAAAUUGCUCGAUGAAACGAUUUUUUGGUAAAUCAAAAAGCUUGACGAAA